UAAUAAUCAAAGGUGUAACCUGCCCAAUGAUUUUUAAUUAAUAAUAAUAAAAUUUUUUUAAAAGAAUUAAAAGGACGCAGUAUCUUGACUGUGGUAAUGUAGCAUAAUCACUCGCCACUUAAUUGGUGGAUAGUAUGAAUGGUUAAACGUAUAUUUCACUGUCUCCUUUAGAAAAUUCAUAAAAUUAAAAUAAUAGUAAAGAUGCUAUUUAAAACUGUAAGACGAAAAGACCCUAUAGAGCUUAACUAUAAUUUAUAUUUAAAAAAUAAAAACAUAAAAUUUUUAUAUUUAUAUAGAUUGGUAGUUUAGUUGGGGCGACUAUCUUCUAAAAAUAACGAAGACAAGCAAAGCUAAUAAAUAAACUUAUUGUAUAAUAAAUAAAUUUAACAAUUAUAAAAAUAGGCUAUAAUGACCCAUUAAAAUUAAGUAAUAAAUUUAAUGAAUAAUAAAUAAAAGCUACCUUAGGGAUAACAGGAUAAUUUUGUUUUAGAGACCAUAUCGAAAACAAAGUUUGUCACCUCUAUGUUGAAUUAAGAUAUCCUAAUAAUGCAGAAGUUAU
rnacentral:rRNA from 2 species